rnacentral:tRNA from 12 species
GCGGGGGUGGCUGAGCUAGGCCAAAAGCGGCGGACUUAAGAUCCGCUCCCGUAGGGGUUCGCGAGUUCAAAUCUCGUCCCCCGCA